rnacentral:rRNA from 1 species
CCGCAACGAGCGCAACCCUUGAUCUUAGUGGCCAGCAUUCAGUGGGGCACUCUAAGGUGACGGCCGGUGACAAACCGGAGGAAGGUGGGGAAGACGUCAAAUCAUCAUGCCCCUUAUGACCUGGGCUACACACGUGCUACAAUGGACAGAACAAAGGGCAGCGAAACCGCGAGGUUAAGCCAAUCCCACAAAUCUGUUCUCAGUUCGGAUCGCAGUCUGCAACUCGAAUGCGUGAAGCAGGAAUCGCUAGUAAUCGCGGAUCAGCAUGCCGCGGUGAAUACGUUCCCGGGCCUUGUACACACCGCCCGUCACACCACGAGAGUUUGUAACACCCGAAGUCGGUGAGGUAACC